rnacentral:rRNA from 1 species
UUUGGCAUCUCAAAACCCAAUAACCCCAAGCUAGUUUUCCUUUGUGAAAGUAGGCAAGCAUCAGCGAAAGUGGAAAAGUUGCGUUGGAGACUUGGUCUGAAGGGAUUUCACGGAGUGAAUAGCGAUGGUAGAAGUGGUGGUUUGGCACUCUUUUGGGAUGAGUCUUUGUCUGUUACGGUUCUUGAAUCUUGCAGUCGUUUUAUUGAUGUUAAUGUGGUUGAUGGUGGCUCAGGCACAUCUUGGCGGGCCACUUUUGUCUAUGGAGAACCUCGAGUCGAAAAUCAAUAUCGCAUGUGGGAGCACUUGUGUAGGCUCAGGGCUAGUUCACGAUUGUUGUGGAUCGUGUGCGGUGAUUUUAAUGAAGCGUUAUGGCAGCAUGAGCAUCUAUCGAGGACCAUGCGCUCAGAGUCUCAGAUGCUGGCCUUUAGGGACUGCCUGGAGUUCUGCGAGCUGGAGGACCUGGGCUUCUCAGGCAUCCCAUACACAUACAACAAUGGACAAGACUCAGAUCGCAACGUAUAG